GACGUAGGGGACGAGCGUUAUUCGGAAUUAUUGGGCGUAAAGGGCGCGUAGGCGGCUGUACAAGUCAAAGGUGAAAUCCCUCGGCUCAACUGAGGAACUGCCUUUGAAACUGUACGGCUUGAGGCCGGGAGGGGGUAGCGGAAUUCCCAAUGUAGCGGUGAAAUGCGUAGAUAUUGGGAGGAACACCAGUGGCGAAGGCGGCUACCUGGACCGGUUCUGACGCUGAGGCGCGAAAGCGUGGGGAGCAAACAGG
rnacentral:rRNA from 1 species